rnacentral:lncRNA from 1 species
GAUUCUUAAGAUUCUUGUUCCAAGCUUUUUUCAAACAUUCUCUCCUCACGACAUUUUUGGAAUAGUUAAGGAUGCUGCCGUGCUCCCUGGUCACCCAAGUAUCGGCAAGUGUUUAUCGAGACCACAUGAAAACAAUCCCAGCUUUAUUAACCUUUAUUAUGAGUGCCAUCUCUAUGACAUAAUCUCCCCUUUCUAUUUAAGGGCUCUAUGAGGCGCCGGUACUUCAUAAAUCUGCAUUUGAAGGAGAAGGAAAAAGCCUGUGGCUCAGAGGGCGAGAGGAAGGGGAAGGAGGAGCCCCCAAAGGACCUGCAGUAGUGGCAAUUUCCUCGUUGGAUUCGAGCAGCAUGACGAACUUAACUCCUCUUGAAUAAAGUUUGUUAGGAA